CCCUUAGAUGUCCUGGGCCGCACGCGCGCUACACUGAACGGAUCAGCGCGUUUUCCCUUCCCGAGAGGGACGGGUAACCUGCUGAAUCCCGUUCGUGGUAGGGAUCGGGGCUUGCAAUUAUUCCCCGUGAACCAGGAAUGCCCAGUAAGUGCAAGUCAUAAGCUUGCGUUGAUUACGUCCCUGCCCUUUGUACACACCGCCCGUCGCUACUACCGAUUGAACGUUUUAGUGAGGUACUCGGACUGAGCCUCAGAAGAUUCACGUCUUUUGUGCUGCUCGGGAAGAUUCCCAAACUUGAGCGUUUAGAGGAAGUAAAAGUCGUAACA
rnacentral:rRNA from 1 species